rnacentral:rRNA from 1 species
AGAGUUUGAUCCUGGCUCAGGACAAACGCUGGCGGCAUGCCUAACACAUGCAAGUCGAACGGGGUUACUUCGGUAACCUAGUGGCGAACGGGUGAGUAACGCGUAGGCAACCUGCCCUCUAGAUGGGGACAACAUUCCGAAAGGAGUGCUAAUACCGAAUGUGAAGGAUCUUCCGCAUGGAGGAUUCUUGAAAGAUGGCCUCUAUUUAUAAGCUAUCGCUAGAGGAUGGGCCUGCGUCUGAUUAGCUAGUAGGUGGGGUAACGGCCUACCUAGGCGACGAUCAGUAGCCGGUCUGAGAGGAUGAACGGCCACAUUGGGACUGAGACACGGCCCAGACUCCUACGGGAGGCAGCAGUGGGGAAUCUUCCGCAAUGGGCGAAAGCCUGACGGAGCAAUGCCGCGUGAGUGAUGAAGGGAUUCGUCCCGUAAAGCUCUUUUGUACAUGACGAACGUGCAAGGGGUGAACAAUCCCGUGUAAUGACGGUAGUGUACGAAUAAGCCACGGCUUACUACGUGCCAGCAGCCGCGGUAAUACGUAGGUGGCAAGCGUUAUCCGGAUUUAUUGGGCGUAAAGGGUGCGCAGGCGGUUUAUUUAGUCCGGGGUGAAAGCGUUGAGCUCAACUCAAUUAAGCCUUGGAUACUGAUAGACUAGAGUGCAGAAGAGGGUAGUGGAACUCCAUGUGUAGCGGUAAAAUGCGUAGAUAUAUGGAAGAACACCAGCGGCGAAGGCGGCUACCUGGUCUGUUACUGACGCUCAGGCACGAAAGCGUGGGGAGCAAAUAGGAUUAGAUACCCUAGUAGUCCACGCCCUAAACGAUGAUUACUAAAUGUUGGGGAAACUCAGUGUUGUAGCUAACGCAAUAAGUAAUCCGCCUGGGGAGUAUGCACGCAAGUGUGAAACUUAAAGGAAUUGACGGGGCCCCGCACAAGCGGUGGAGUAUGCGGUUUAAUUCGACGCAACGCGAAGAACCUUACCAGGCCUUGACAUCCCUUGCAAAGGUAUAGAGAUAUAUUAGAGGUUAUCAAGGUGACAGGUGGUGCAUGGUUGUCGUCAGCUCGUGUCGUGAGAUGUUGGGUUAAGUCCCGCAACGAGCGCAACCCUUGUCUUUAGUUACCAUCAUUUAGUUGGGGACUCUAGAGAGACUGCCGAUGAUAAAUCGGAGGAAGGUGGGGAUGACGUCAAAUCAUCAUGCCCUUUAUGGCCUGGGCUACACGCGUACUACAAUGGCGUACACAACAAGAUGCAAUAUAGCGAUAUGGAGCAAAACUUACAAAUUACGUCUCAGUUCAGAUUGAAGUCUGCAACUCGACUUCAUGAAGUUGGAAUCGCUAGUAAUCGCGGAUCAGCAUGCCGCGGUGAAUACGUUCUCGGGGCUUGCACUCACCGCCCGUCAA